CUGGGCGUAGCGAGUAGCGGUCAGCGGCAGACGAGUGAGUAACGCGUGGGAACGUACCUUUUGGUUCGGAACAACACAGGGAAACUUGUGCUAAUACCGGAUAAGCCCUUACGGGGAAAGAUUUAUCGCCGAAAGAUCGGCCCGCGUCUGAUUAGCUAGUUGGUGUGGUAACGGCGCACCAAGGCGACGAUCAGUAGCUGGUCUGAGAGGAUGAUCAGCCACAUUGGGACUGAGACACGGCCAAACUCCUACGGGAGGCAGCAGUGGGGAAUAUUGGACAAUGGGCGCAAGCCUGAUCCAGCCAUGCCGCGUGAGUGAUGAAGGCCCUAGGGUUGUAAAGCUCUUUUGUGCGGGAAGAUAAUGACGGUACCGCAAGAAUAAGCCCCGGCUAACUUCGUGCCAGCAGCCGCGGUAAUACGAAGGGGGCUAGCGUUGCUCGGAAUCACUGGGCGUAAAGGGUGCGUAGGCGGGUCUUUAAGUCAGGGGUGAAAUCCUGGAGCUCAACUCCAGAACUGCCUUUGAUACUGAGGAUCUUGAGUUCGGGAGAGGUGAGUGGAACUGCGAGUGUAGAGGUGAAAUUCGUAGAUAUUCGCAAGAACACCAGUGGCGAAGGCGGCUCACUGGCCCGAAUUACUGACGCUUGAAGGGCACGAAAAGCGUGGGGGAGCCAAAACCAGGGAUUUAGAUUACCCUGGUAAGUCCACGCCCGUAAAACGAUGAAUGGCCAGCCGUUAGUGGGUUUAC
rnacentral:rRNA from 1 species